rnacentral:rRNA from 1 species
UGGUGCCUUCGGGAACUCAGACACAGGUGCUGCAUGGCUGUCGUCAGCUCGUGUUGUGAGAUGUUGGGUUAAGUCCCGUAACGAGCGCAACCCUUGUCCUUAGUUACCAGCACUUCGGGUGGGCACUCUAAGGAGACUGCCGGUGACAAACCGGAGGAAGGUGGGGAUGACGUCAAGUCAUCAUGGCCCUUACGGCCAGGGCUACACACGUGCUACAAUGGUCGGUACAAAGGGUUGCCAAGCCGCGAGGUGGAGCUAAUCCCAUAAAACCGAUCGUAGUCCGGAUCGCAGUCUGCAACUCGACUGCGUGAAGUCGGAAUCGCU